CCUCCGCGGGAUUUUGCCGCCUGGCAGCGCCCUGCUCGCCCCGAACUUCCCGCGGGCCGGGGCCGGGAGCGCCCGGAGGCCCCGUUUGCGCCCUGCAAACGGCAAAGCAGCAGCUAAAGCAGCGACCCAGCGAGAACUGCUGAGCCUUGAACAGCCUCGGCCCAGCCCUGGGAAGGCUCCCAAACAUAAUUUCCAUCCCAAUCUAUGCUGCUCCGCUUCUAAGGAGGUAAUAGCUCCUACGGCGCUUCCGCCUCCUUUAGCUGAGCAAUUUAUGGCUUUUGCUUUAGCUUUCUGGCGCUCCUGGAAAGCAUUUUGUUUGCAUGGAUUUGCACUUUUUCUCCUUCUUCUUCUUUCCAUUUCUUGCUUCCAAUUCUGAACGGGAAAGAAACGCUGCAAGAAGGAAAUUCUAAGUUUCAGCUCUUGGCGGCCACCGAGGUCCCAUUGCACGUUGUUCCCAGAAAGUGCCUGUUGACACCUCAAACGAAGCCGGAGCGCUGGAAAACGCAGCAGCCGAAACGGCCCAGCAGAUUUGCAACCGUGUCCGGCCAGCAGAGCUCCGCAAGGUGCACGCCGUGGCGGGGAAACGGCGCGUCGGGCGGAGAAGAGGAGGAGAAAGGCUGCGGACCUGCCGGUCCCUGGUUGUCUAAUGAGCUCAGCACCUGCUUCAGGUCCCAAUAGCGAACCGAUUCCCUAAGCUGUGCAGGUGGCUUUCCUCCUGGUGGACCGAGGUCCCAGAGGCAGCUUCUGCCGCUUUAUUCGGGCACCUACGGGACGCGCGCGCUCUGCGCGGCCCCGUCGCCCGGCGUCGCGCUGGGCUCAGCUGGGCGGGUUAUUGCUGACGCUCUGCUCUGCAGGCUGACCCAGAGGGCUUGUCGGCUGCCUGUCGAGCAGCGUGGAUAACAUCUAUUGCAUGCUGUUUAUUUUCUCCUUCUUCAUUUUCUCACUGGGGGGAAAAUUGCAUGGACUGAACUGGAGCAGCAGCAUUGAUGACAAAUUCAGUUUGGAGUGAGAACAUUGUGAUUCUUCACUUGAAAACACACUGCCAAUAGACAGUUGAACAGUUUCAUUGAUAAAGAUGUUGUUUCUUAGGUCAAAAACUGUUUUACAAAAACAAGAAUGGGGAUUCUUUCAAAGAAGAGGUGUCACAUUUUGCAAGUUUCCAUAACAAAAGGCUAUAAAGCCUUUGGAUUCCCUCCCAUGGCUUUCCUUUCAACAGCAGCGCCUGCUUCCCCGCUUGCUCAGCACUGAGGCUUGCUAAAGCGUCUGUGGGCGCAGGCUGGUGCAGUUUUGACAGCUAAGCCGUGCAAACGCUGGAGCUUGGGUUCAGGACUGCUGGGCAGAUCUCAGCACAGGGACCAAGACUCGUCUGAGCCCUUUUCUUCUCCCUGCCCUCUUGCACGGAGGGUCUUCCCAGGCCAGACGCAGCACGGAGCGAGGUCCCCUCGCCUCUGCCCCGCUCGGCGCUAAGCAGCGACCUGGGCUUUCCCCAGCACUCAGGCUGCGCGACUUUCUGCCGGCACAGAAGUCACAGAGUCCAAGAAGGGGAAAAGACAAACUUAUUUUUAGCUGAUCAGAUUAAAGCCCUGCUCCACCUUGCUUCUGUCCUCUUUCUUCCCAGCAAUCUUCCUCUCCCCUCCGAGUCUGCCGGGCACCUGGGGUUCAUUAGCUGUGGCGGGUG
ensembl:lncRNA